rnacentral:rRNA from 1 species
UACGGGGGGGGCAAGCGUUGUUCGGAAUUACUGGGCGUAAAGGGCUCGUAGGCGGCCAACUAAGUCAGACGUGAAAUCCCUAGGCUCAACCUAGGAACUGCGUCUGAUACUGGAUGGCUUGAAUCCGGGAGAGGGAUGCAGAAUUCCAGGUGUAGCGGUGAAAUGCGCAGAUAUCAGGAGGAACACCGGUGGCGAAGGCGGGUCUCUGGGCAACAACUGACGCUGAGGAGCGAAAGCGUGGGGAGCGAACAGG